rnacentral:rRNA from 1 species
UACGGAGGGAGCUAGCGUUGUUCGGAAUUACUGGGCGUAAAGCGCACGUAGGCGGCUUUGUAAGUUAGAGGUGAAAGCCUGGGGCUCAACCCCAGAAUUGCCUUUAAGACUGCAUCGCUUGAAUCCAGGAGAGGUGAGUGGAAUUCCGAGUGUAGAGGUGAAAUUCGUAGAUAUUCGGAAGAACACCAGUGGCGAAGGCGGCUCACUGGACUGGUAUUGACGCUGAGGUGCGAAAGCGUGGGGAGCAAACAUG